UUGUUUCAAAAUUCAAUAUUGUUUAAGGACAAUAAUAUUGGUUUUGGCACGAUAUAUAUGAAUAAAGGUUGGUCCAUGUCUUAUGGGAAUUUUUUUUUCCUAAGUGAAAGACACGAAUGUGUUCUAACCAUUAAUCCCACUUACGAAGUGUGAUUCGCAGGUCUCAUGAGAAUUGCGAGAAGAAAUAAAGGUUGGUUGACAACAUCUAUAACUCCUCCAUUGACACUUUUUGUAUCCUGUUGUAUAUAUAAUUAUUUAAAUAUUUUUAAGAAUAUCUUUUCCAUACAAAACAUAGAAUUUAAUAUAUAUAAAAUUUAUAAUUUAUGAUUAAAUGAAAAAAUAAUCCUAUAAAAAAAACUUAAACAAAGAUGUCGAUCGCUAAUUUAGAUGAAUAUGUUAACAGUAGUAAAUAAUUAAGAAACGUAAUUAAUUAUGAUAGAAGAGUUAUUGUUAACACACAAUUUUUAUUUGGCACACAGUGACAAUACUCCAAGGUUCAAUUAACUUGAUAAUACGUAAACAGCACUGGAUGAGUCCAACCAAAGAUCUCAUGUCAUAAUUAAUUAAUUAAUUAAUUAAUGAAGUUGCUUCUGAAGCAUGCAUGUUAUGAUCCAACUCUUUAGCAAAGGCUUUCAUGACUUGGCUAGGCAAGCAAAUCAAAACCAGAAUUCCUUCUUCGCCCUUGGCAUUCUGACUCGGCACAUGAAAGUUCACCGCAGGGAAAGCACCAGCACCAGCAACUGCCAUUCCACCAUACAGCGCAUUCCCCCAACCAAAGUCCAAAUUUCUGAACCCAGCCUCCGUCGUAUCCAACACCAGACACGACCUCACCACAGUGAACAAAGGCCUUCCCUCACUCGCCAUCAAAU
rnacentral:lncRNA from 1 species